rnacentral:lncRNA from 1 species
GGGGCUUAGAAUUUUAGUUUUAGUUCUCACACUAAUGACAUCAAGUUUGUUCACACUUCUCUGUACCAUUGCCUUUGGGUAGUCCUCUUGUCCACUGACAAUAGACUUGACCAUGUCACUUUCUUUGAUCAGUGAGACAAGCAAAGAAUUGAAACGUGAUGGACCAUUGGAACUUUUCUUCUUUUGCUGAUUUUGGAAACCUGCUGGAUAACAAAGACUGGCCCAGUUUACCCCUUCACCUCAGCUGACAGCCAGCCAGCCCUCGGAGCUGUGACACCUACUUGACUGCAUCUGCUUGAUAAAUAAGAAGAACCAGCUGGUACCUGUAACAUAAAAGAACAGCAAGAAUACAGAAACAAAGCAAAUCAUGAUUCAGAAUGUCACAAUCAUCUUGGAUCUUUGCACUUGCAUCACAAUGUUGGGGAUCUUUUUAUCUUCAUGUAAAGAAGCCCUGGCUAGCCUAAUGUAGGAACCACCUGCAGCAGAAACAAGCCAUCCCAACGGAGGAGCCCUAAUGCCAAACAAGAAAGUUGCAACCAUCCUAAACUCUUCAGCCCCAAGCAAAUCACCAGCCCCAGUCACAUCACCAGCUGAUGGUAGAAAUCCAACAUGCUAACCCGAACCAGAGGAAUAACCCAGCAGCUGACCCAAGACUGGCAAACUAAUAAAAUGGUGGCUAUUAUAAGUUUUGGCUUAGUUUGUUAUGCAACAAUGGAUAAAAUAGGGCUUCUUUGACCACCAGACUUGGAAUGUGCCUUCAGGAGAAAUAAGACAGGCAGUGAAGCUGUUCCUGCAGGCACUGCGCUUGCAGGGGGAAUAUGUUGAUAAGUGAUGCAAAGCCAGAUGAGGUCUCUAGACUCUCCAUAAAAUCUCUCUUUCUUCAACCAGGUUAUCUUACUUCUAUCUGCAAGGCCCAGCACAACCAUCAUCUGUCAGGCAAGCCCAAACUUCUACAGAGAUAUCUCAGAUACAAUAUCAAGUAACAUUUACUGAAAGUUUGUCUAUAUUUUUUAUUCAAGAUCAGGAAAAUGUCAAUCUUUUCUAUUGGUAAGGAACAAUCCUGUUUUUCACUUUAUUUCCUCACAUAAGUGUGAAUGUGUACAGCAAAAUUUCUAGAGGUAGAGUAAUAUUCAAGUCUGCGGUCAGCCACUUGCCAAGUUUGCAAAGUAUGGAUAUAUUAUUUUAUAUACCCAAGACUCAAAUGUUCUCAACUGUAAAAAGUAUAUAUUAGUAAUUUCUAUCUAAUGGAUUUUUGUGAGCAUCAUGUUAUUUUCAAACACUUAAAACACCUGACAUACAAUAAAUGCUCACUAAAACU